rnacentral:lncRNA from 1 species
AGUAAGUACGAAUCGGCCUUAGGUUCCCUGCCUCAAGACCCUAUUCUCCUGCCUCACUUUUAGCUAAGGGUUAUUACAAAAGAGUCAGAAAGUUAAGACAAAAUAUGAAAGUUUAUAAAGUAAAAAGAGUUACAGUGAGCUAAGUAUAACUUAUUGAAAACAUUUUUUUAAUUUAGUAUAGCCUAACUGUGUUUAUACAGUCUACAGUAGUAUACAGUAAUAUCCUAGACCUCCACAUUCCCUCGCCACUCACUCACUCACUCACCGACUCACUCAGAGCAACAUCCAGUCCUGGAAGCUCCAUUCACAGAAGCUAUUGGAAGAGAUGCUCAAAGAAGAAAAAAUUACCAUAAUCCAAUAAAGAAGAAGACCUGAGAUCCAGGAAGCAGAUGAUCUGAACUGCAGAGAAAGUUCAGGAAAGUUCCCUCAUUCAUGAUGAUGGGAAAUAACAGUAAAUUCUGUACAGCAGUCUUGGACAACAACCAAUCUAAACUGGCACAGUGCAGAGGCAAUCAACAGAGAACAUAAUAUUGAUAGAAUGCCUGACGCUUUUGAUUGUAUUCACAGGAAACAUAAACAAUUGGAAGACAGUUUAUGAAUGAAUUAGUGAUAAGCAUUUUUUUUCAACUUUUAUUUUAGAUUCAAGGGUACAUGUGCAGGUUUGGUGCCUGGGUAUACUGGGUGAUGCUGAGGUUUGUGUUACAAAUGAUCCCAUCAUCCAGGUACUGAGCAUGGUAUCCAGUAGUUAGUUUUUAACCCUUCUCCUGUCUCUCUCCUGGUGGUCCCCAGUUUCUACUGUUGCCAUCUUUAUGUCCAUGAGUAUACAAUGUUUAGCUCCCACUUGUGAGAACAUGCGUAUUUGCCUAUUUAAUUAUUUGUUUAUUUGUUGAGACAUAGUUUCACUCUCUAGCCCGAUCUUGGCUCACUGCAACCUACGCUUCCUGUGUUCAAGCGAUUCUCUUGCCUCGGCCUCCCCAGUAGCUGAGAUUACAGGCACCUACUACCAUGCCUGACUAAUUUUUGUAUUUUAAUAGAGAUAGGGUUGCACCCUGUUGGCCAGGCUGGUUUCAAAUUCCUGAUCUCAAGCGAUCCACUCACCUUGGCCUCCCAAACGGCUGGGAUUACAGGCUUGAGCCACCACGCCCAGCCACUAUUUGCUUUUCUAUUCCUGCAUUAAUUUGCUUAGGAUAAUAGCCCUCAACUUCAUCCAUUUUGCUGCAAAGAAAAUAAUUUUGUUCUUUUUUAGGGCUGCAUAGUAUUCCAUGGUGUAUAUGUACCACAUUUGUUUUAUUUAAUCCACUGUUGAUGGACACCUGGGUUUAUUCUAUGCCUUUGCUACUACAAAUAGGGCUGUGAUGAACAUGCAAAGGCAUGUGUCUCCUUGAGAUAAAUAUUUUAAAAAUACAAUAAAAUCAAAAAAAUUAAUGUCAGGGCUAACAUACAGUUAUUAGAAAAAAAAAUAUUUUGUUAUUAUAGAUAGACACUAGCUUUAACAUAAUAAUAGUUAUGUAAGUAGUCGAAGUUCAUAUGAUCAAAAUUAUUAUUUAGCUGUUUUAAAAGAAUGCAGAUAUAAGAGAUAUACCAUUAAUGGUGAAUAGUUCCAGUAAAAGCAAGCUAAGCUCUCUUUCACAUUCCAUAGAGGGAAUUUAAUAAGCCCUGAAACCGAAAGUUCAAGAAGGAAAAGUGCAAGUCCUACAUGAAUUGAUCAAUGAUUGCCUCUGGAAAUUAUUGGUGUGAAUGGGGAGGCAAAAUUGCUAGUUUGGUUAAUAAGCUAUGUAACUGUUUGAUAAUUCUUCACUUGCAUGUAAACUUCGGUACAAAUAAAAGCUAAUGAAAACAGAGACAGAAUUAUUAAAUCAUCAUAACAUAAAGUUAACAUUUUUCAUCAUUUUUCACUUGUUCAAAGAUCAUAAGAAAUUUUCAUCUUAAUUUUCAAGCAUCAACUAAUGUUUCUACUCUCCCUGAGUACCAUAAAAAGCCUUCUGUGGACAGUCUAAGUGACAAUGACACAUUAGAUUUGGCAAAAAUUACUUUCAGAUGUAAAUCAAUUUGAGAAUGAACUGAUGCUCUGAAACCGGAAUUUACUUGUUGCUCAAAUUUGCCCCAAAAUAAAAUAAUUUUCAAUCAUAGGAGAAUUCACAGGGCCCAGCUCUCCAUUGGUGUUCCAAUCUAUUCUCUGACCUCUAUGCUGUACACAAGAAUCCUCAAUGGUUUUUCUGGAACCCAAGACAGAAAUAAUAUCCCAAAUGAUGCUUGCUCUAAGAGUAUCACUCACCCAGGGGGUUUACCCCCUGCAACUUUCCCUUUUACCAGUUUUGCUACAGAUUUUUAUGAACUUAGUUCCCCAGUCACCAGGGCCACAGAUGUUUGAAAUACUUUUCUGUCUUUUUUUUUAAGUGAUAAACAACUGAAUUCCUAUUCACUUUUACUCCACGAGUGACUUUACAAUACAUUAAAAAAAGAUAAACUGUCAGUAUUCUUUUCUUUAAAAACUGUAAAAUGCCUUUCCACUUAUUUCUUAUACUAUGUUGUCUCUCAGAUAAUACAUUGAUGCAAUUUUGGAUAAUGUUUUAAUGAAGAAGUUGACAGUAAUGCACAUUAAUUAAAAUAUGUAAAAAUCUA